UACGGGGGGGGCAAGCGUUGUUCGGAAUUACUGGGCGUAAAGGGCUCGUAGGUGGCCAACUAAGUCAGACGUGAAAUCCCUCGGCUUAACCGGGGAACUGCGUCUGAUACUGGAUGGCUUGAGGUUGGGAGAGGGAUGCGGAAUUCCUGGUGUAGCAGUGAAAUGCGUAGAGAUCAGGAGGAAUACCGAUGGCGAAGGCAGGUCCCUGG
rnacentral:rRNA from 1 species